rnacentral:lncRNA from 1 species
UAACAAAGAAAGGCAAAUAAAGAAUAUUUGUUGAGAAGCUAAUGGAGCUCUUACAUAUCACAUCACUUGCAAGUUACCACUUAGAAAUUUCCCCAACCUUCUUAUGUACUCUAUAUAUUUGCAUCGCAAAGGAGAAAACUUUCAAUUUUAGAUUUUUCCCAAUUACAGAAAAUAUACUUUUUAGUGCAAAUGAAUAGAAUGACUCGAUAUUUGCCUCGUUUUCUCUUUUAGAUCUCAUGAAUCAUCCUCUUUUUUCCAGCAAUUCAAUUCUGUAUACCCAUCUCCAUUUGCUUUCGAACAGGUAUAUUUUGUAUUUUUUUUCCUUUCUCUGUAAUCUUCAGCUUAUACUGAAUUAAUCCUUUUGGUCUGAUCUUAUUUCUCAUUAACUUCUAAAUCUUGAUUCUAAAAUUUACUGCUAUGCUGACCAUAUGGAAAUUCAAUUGUUGGGUUUUCUGAAUUGUUUGAUGAAAUCAUAUGUUCGCCCUGAAAACUAGGUGGGUUGUGGUUGAUUUAUCAUACGUUUGACAAACAAAAAUACUGCUAUCUAAUAUGAAGACGUAUGCAUUGCGCGAUAUGGCCUAAAGAACAGGUAAGUUUGUGUGGUGUGAACUAAGAAAAGCAAGGAAAAGAUUCAAGCAAAAAUGGCACUUGUUUUGUAACUGUAAGUCUUGAUUGAUAUAUUUAGCAGGAAAAUAUUUGUGCCCGAGUUCGUUUACUAAACAUUUAGGUUACAGCAUAACAGGUUGAUGCAAUAGAUGGAUGUUUUCGGUAUUAUUUACUUUAAUUAUAUAAGUAGGGAGGAAGCAUGUGCCAAAAGAUUUACCCACAUAACCUUUAACAACUAUAUGCAUUUUCUUAAAAUAGCCCACAAAUAGUGGUUCUUCUGGUUUCUUCUCUUUUUAUGUCAAACAACUUCAGAGGUAAAUGCAUAAAUAACUUCCAUUGACUAACAACAUUUCUUCGGCUUUAUUCACCUCAAUUGAAUAAACCAUGUUGACUUCAAACAUGCAAAUGUUGAGUGCAUGACAUACCC